ACUCCCGCACCAGCCGUCACACAAACCCUAGCCUUGUUUUCCCUCGAUCCCCACAGCCUCCCGCUCCCCUCCUCCAUCCCCCUCCUCGCGUCACCACGGCCUCCGCCCUGGAGCCCUGCCGCCGCCUCUCCUCCACCCCCUCCUCGCGUCGCCACGGCCUCCGCCCUGGAGUCCCGCCGCCGCCUGCUAUUCCUCCUCCACCACGCUAGCCCCUCUACCUCGUCUUCCUUCUCUUCAUUGUUGGUUCCAGAUCAAGCACGGGUUAGGCGAGCCCAGUGGUGGGGUGAAGGGGCAGGGGAAGAGGAGGUGGGUAACUAGGUGAAGGAGCAGGUCGGCCCUCCUAGAGGCGGCGCCGCCGCCCAGCCAGGGAGGAGGCCAGACUCUCCUCCAGGCUCGCCUCUGUUUUGCCCUGAGCAGCGGCAGCGCCUAUGCCUCCACCCCACCUUCUUUUCCAUGCCUCUUCCUUGGCAUGACAGGCAGAUUUUGAGGAUGGGGAGACCCCAUGGGCUAGGUGUCCUUCCUCCUCUUGGUGACAUAUAAGAGGACCUGCAACACUGAACCGGGAAGUCCUUUUUUAGGCAGUGGUCAUGGAGCAACAAUAUAUGCUGCGUGGCAUUGCAGGUUCAAGGAAUGGAAGUAGCUAUAUUUGAGAUCUGAUAUUAUCGUUGGCAACUUCACUGCACACUGGAAGUAAUAUUUCAACUGUGUUAGGGGGUGGGACACACAUUUCUUGUCGAUGAUGGUUAUUUUCCGCCCCGGUCGAUCCAGGCACGGCGUUGGAUGGGAGAGAGCAGGGGAGGGCCAAGAGGCCAGCGGUGUGGGGUGGAGCAGCGAGGCCGAAGACCAGGCAGCGGACGCCUCACGGGGUGGAGGAGAGGUCGGAGAUAGGGAAAAGCAGCAUCUUCAUGGAUGAGAUCCUGACGGCUGAAGAUGGUGCACACGGGAGGAUCUUGGAAGAUGUCAAGGGGCGCCGCGAGGAGUGGAGUAAGCUAAAUACCUGACUGGCUGGAUCAUUUUUGGGCUCUUUACAGAUUUAUCGACUUCAAAUGGUUAUCUCAUAGUUGAAGCAAAUGGUGGUCUGAAUCAACAGUGUCUUUUUAUCUGCGAUGCAGUUGUUGUGGCCAGCUUGCUUAAUGCAACUCUUGUGAUCCCAAUAUUUCAUUUGAAUAGCGUUUGGCGCGAUCCUAGCAAAUUUAGUGAUAUUUUUGAUGAAGAUCGUUUUAUCGGGACACUCAGACAACAUGUAAGAGUUGUGAAGGAACUCCCAAAAGAUGUUCUACUGCGUUUCAAUCAUAAUAUAAGAAGCAUACCAAAUAUGCGAACUAAAGCCUACUCAUCCCCAGAUCAAUUAUUUGUUACACAUCGAGGUAGAUAACAAACAAUAGAAAUCAGGAAGUGUUGUUUGUUAUCUACUUCGAUGUCGUACUGAUUUCUAUUUUUUCACAAUUGCAGGCGCCAUAUUAGUGUUUCUUAUUAUCUACCUUGAUGCCAUACUAAUUUCUGUGAUUCCAAAAUUGCUGGCACCACUUCCUGUUGCCUGUUGGUGCAAGGACCCAUGCCUUCCAUCUGAGAAAUGUAAAGGAUGGAUCAAUUGGCAUUGUCAGCUCAUGUUUAGUUCUUUGUCUCUCAGACGACAUGCAUCUCUCAACACAAUCCUAGGUUAAUGAACUGCUAAAGCUACAAUGUAGAUGCAUUGUGACUUUAUUUUCUAGGUACUAACUUCAGAUGUCCAAUUUGUUACCUGUACCAAUGUAUUCUCAGGAUAUUUACUUUAGAUAAACAAUCUGCUGCAUACUAAUGUAUAUUUUUACACAAGCUAUCCUCGAUGUUUGUUUCGCUUUGUCGUUCCCAACAUCACAUAGUAAUGCUUGCAGCUUCUUUGGGAAGGUGGAACUAAUACAUACAUUCAACUUACUCAAGUUCGAAAACUGCUCCUCUUGACCUAUUUCAGCUUUGUGGGCGAGUGAAUGCAUGAUGAUGGCAGCUUGGUGUUUGCAUAAUACAAGGGAAGGAGCUGCUGAGCCAACUCUCAUGUACUUCACAUGAGCUGAAAGAGGUUGGUAUGAUGCUGCGAGGCAUGGGGUUUGACAAUACAACCUUCCUCUAUGUUGCCUCCGGUAAAAUAUACAAUGCUGCAAAAUACAUGGCUCCCCUUCGCCAGAUGUUCCCUCUUUUACAAACCAAGGACACUCUUGCAUUGUCUGAAGAGCUUGCUGAGUUUGAGGGGUACUCUUCUCGGUUAGCAGCAUUAGAUUACACCGUCUGUGUUCAGAGCGAAGUGUUUGUGACGACUCAAGGGUGGAACUUCCCUCACUUUUUGAUGGGACACAGGCGUUACCUAUUAGGAGGGAAUGCAAAGGCAAUAAAACGUGACAAACGGAAGCUGGUCUUAUCUUUUGACGACCCAAAUAUCAGGAGUCGAUUCAAGCACCACAUGCUGGAAAUACUGCACCAUAGUGACAUAAGGGGCAUCACAUUCAGGAAACCUAAUGAUUCCAUAUACACCUUCCCAAUGCCUGAUUGCAUGUGCCAACAAGAUGGAAUAUGAUCUAGGCGUUAGCAUACAUAAUUGAGGUAUGCAUAUCCUCUACCUUUGUGCAACAAAGGCACCAAAGGCACGACAUUGUUGACUGCAUGAUUAGGAUUUGAUGGUCAUGAUGAAAACUGGAGUGAAAUAAAGCAUUUGGUGCUUCUCAGGAGAUUCUAAAACCCUCUGGCAUACCCCAAACCGUUCGAUUCUGGAUAUAAUGGUCAAAAGGUGCCUAAUGACAAUGAAUUCCAUAGGAUCAGAAAUUGAGAAGAUGUGAGGGAUUUUGUAAAGUUAGUAAUCUGUAGGUAGUCCACCAUAUAGCAAUCUCCAUUUGUUCAAUCUGUCUGUAGGUUGUUAAAGAAAAGAGCUACGAGAUUGGGUUGUAGAUAUGAGUACAACCUGAGUGCCUCAAUGUAUAUUAAAAAACAAGGGCUAACAACAACAAAGAAAGGAAUUUUCCAGUAUAUCAUUACUCCUCAGUGCUUGUUCUCGCA